ACUUUCCCUUUUCUCUACAUAAGAAGCUAUCUAGAAAAGUUUCUAUGAAGAAUUUUCUAAUAUUAUAUUUAUAUAUAUAUCAUCUUCACCUUCAAAACACAAGAAGCUUGGCUAUACACUAAAAUCCUCCAACAAACUACUAUAAGAAAGCCAGACAUAGAGUUUUUGCUUCUCAGGUGACAAUUCUUUCUUAGAUUUUUGUGUGUGUAUAUAUAUAUAUAUAUAUUGUUGUCUCUUCUUAAUUAUGGGGUUCUGAUUAACAGUUUUCAAAGAUUAGUUGGACAUCAAAAUUACUCUAAAAUGGUUGAAAACUUUGGCUAACAUUUAUACCUCGUACGUGAAGAUUAUGACUUAAAACUCCAGAUAUCCUUCUCCUUUAUGAAUAAGUCUGAAAAUAUAUUUUUUUUACCUGAAUAGGAGUUAAUUAUAAAUUCCUUUAUGGGUUUUUGGUAAUUCCCUCUUUCCUCUAUCCCUUCCUAUCUCUUUUUUGCUAGCUUUCAAGAUUUUAUUAUAAUGUGUAUGCAUACGUGAAAGAGAUUUGUACUUGAGUCUAAUAUUUUCGAUGUUUCAUUUUAUGUGUUAUUAUUUUUUAUAUAUGUUUUUAAAAAAAUAGUUUUUAUAUUUGAAAACUUUAAAUUUUUUACUGUAUUCUUAAUAGCAUAUUUUUUUAGCUUGCUACUGAUAUCGAGUAUAAACUCGGCUACAUAAAUUAAUACAGAGAUAAUAUUUUGUUAUCUAUUUGCGUUGGGCGUGAGGUGGGAUGGGAUUGUGUGGACAGUGGGGGUAGGUUAGUGUAGUAGUAUCGGUCCUAUGAGCAGCUAGGUGGAAAAAAAAGAGAAAUUACAAUUUUAUUUUCCCUUUUUUCUUUUUUUUUUCUAGCCUUUAUUGUCUGGUACACGGUGAAUAUAUUAUUUCCAGCAAUAACAAUAAUAAUAUACCUAAUAUUAUUUCAUACCAUAAAAUUGGAAGAGAAUAAUGUGUUACGCAAAACUUAUUUUGGGAGGAUACAAAUACUAUUUUUAGAAAAACACAGCUCAGGACCAUAUUUGGUUUUCCAAUUGUAGCUUAUUCUAAUAGUAGUAUGAGAAUUGUUAUAAUAUAUUUUUUUGUAUUAAGAAUGACCAUAUUGUUAUAAAUAGAAGAUUCUUACACUUCUAUUUAAGGUGAAUGUCUUUAAUGUAUUUAA
rnacentral:lncRNA from 1 species